UACGAAGGGGGCUAGCGUUGCUCGGAAUCACUGGGCGUAAAGGGUGCGUAGGCGGGUCUUUAAGUCAGGGGUGAAAUCCUGGAGCUCAACUCCAGAACUGCCUUUGAUACUGAAGAGCUUGAGUCCGGGAGAGGUGAGUGGAACUCCGAGUGUAGAGGUGAAAUUCGUAGAUAUUCGGAAGAACACCAGUGGCGAAGGCGGCUCACUGGCCCGGUACUGACGCUGAUGUGCGAAAGCGUGGGGAGCAAACAGG
rnacentral:rRNA from 1 species